rnacentral:rRNA from 1 species
UACAGAGGGUGCAAGCGUUAAUCGGAAUUACUGGGCGUAAAGCGUGCGUAGACGGUUAUUUAAGUCAGGUGUGAAAGCCCCGGGCUCAACCUGGGAAUUGCAUUUGAGACUGAAUAGCUAGGGUGCGGAAGAGGGAAGCGGAAUUUCCGGUGUAGCGGUGAAAUGCGUAGAUAUCAGGAGGAACACCCAUAGCGAAGGCAGCUUGCUGGGACGUAACUGACGCUAAGGCGCGAAAGCGUGGGGAGCGAACAGG